GUCUGUACUGCUAGCGAAUGAGCUAGAAAGUUGUAAACAUUCGAGAACGCAAACCAACAUUCUAGCUAGCUAGGUAAAUGCUACAUAGGUUUAACAUAACCAAACUGAUAGCUAACGUUACUUACUAUUUGGAUGGUUUCUUGGUUGAUCUGAGCUUUUCCUCUAUGUCUUUUCGGUACAAAGGCAACAGACAUUUUGAGUUACAUUGAAUGAUAGACGUUACCGCCUGGGAUUUUCUGUCGUCACGAUAUGGAACGCCGUUUGGGUCUUAAAGCACGUGGUCAAAACGUAUGGAACGCCGUUUGGGUCUGAAAGUACGUGGUCAAAACGCGAAAGUUUUAAUGCUGCGUGUGUAAAGUAAGCAGGUGCAAGCGCUAAAUUAACGUCUUCACACCCAAAAUUAACGCCUACACGUGUCAAAUAAGCGCGUGCAAAUGUGCUAAAUAAACGGCUGCAAGCGGUCCUGCACAUGUCAAAUUAAUGUCUACAGCUGCUAAAUAUCCACCUACAAACGCUAAUUUAACGCGUUCUUUAAUAUGCUAAUUUUACCCGCCAAUUUCCCUAGCUCCUCCUUUCAUGAAAUCGAUGUACAGUCAGUUUGAUGCAACAACAUCACAGUUGAAGAUGGCGAGAAGGAACUUCCAUUUUGUUGUUUCUCCGUGCUUCCAGCAACAAUCGCAGCAGUACUGUGUUGGAUUGCUUCAUGAAUGCUUGUCUCCAGAUAUGGUGUUCCCUCCAGAGUUAGGACGGACCAUGGAGGAGAAAACAACACCGUCUGCUUGUUGAAUACUACUUCUACAAACGAGGCUACACUUGUGGCAGCACCUAUUCCUGUGCCCCCCCCCAUCUUCUGCACCACUUCUUGUGGCCCCCCUCCACCUAUACCACUUCCUGUGGCCUCCCCUCCACCAUUCCCUGAGGCUUAUCGUCCACCUUCACCACACUCUUCUGUUGAUGUUGGUGAUGACAAUGAUGUUGACCUCCAAACACUGCUGAAGUUAAUGAGAUGUCAACGAAAUUAACGUGAUGAGGGACAGCGUUUAUGAUUGUGCAAUGAGAACCAGGGCUUCACAAGAGAAGGUCACGGUUGGUUUGUGGAGUAUCCUUCAUUUAUUUGGCGUGGGCAACAGCCAAACAGUAGCCUGUGUGA